UUUAUGGAGAGUUUGAUCCUGGCUCAGGAUGAACGCUGGCGGCGUGCCUAAUACAUGCAAGUCGAGCGAACGGACGAGAAGCUUGCUUCUCUGAUGUUAGCGGCGGACGGGUGAGUAACACGUGGAUAACCUACCUAUAAGACUGGGAUAACUUCGGGAAACCGGAGCUAAUACCGGAUAAUAUUUUGAACCGCAUGGUUCAAAAGUGAAAGACGGUCUUGCUGUCACUUAUAGAUGGAUCCGCGCUGCAUUAGCUAGUUGGUAAGGUAACGGCUUACCAAGGCAACGAUGCAUAGCCGACCUGAGAGGGUGAUCGGCCACACUGGAACUGAGACACGGUCCAGACUCCUACGGGAGGCAGCAGUAGGGAAUCUUCCGCAAUGGGCGAAAGCCUGACGGAGCAACGCCGCGUGAGUGAUGAAGGUCUUCGGAUCGUAAAACUCUGUUAUUAGGGAAGAACAUAUGUGUAAGUAACUGUGCACAUCUUGACGGUACCUAAUCAGAAAGCCACGGCUAACUACGUGCCAGCAGCCGCGGUAAUACGUAGGUGGCAAGCGUUAUCCGGAAUUAUUGGGCGUAAAGCGCGCGUAGGCGGUUUUUUAAGUCUGAUGUGAAAGCCCACGGCUCAACCGUGGAGGGUCAUUGGAAACUGGAAAACUUGAGUGCAGAAGAGGAAAGUGGAAUUCCAUGUGUAGCGGUGAAAUGCGCAGAGAUAUGGAGGAACACCAGUGGCGAAGGCGACUUUCUGGUCUGUAACUGACGCUGAUGUGCGAAAGCGUGGGGAUCAAACAGGAUUAGAUACCCUGGUAGUCCACGCCGUAAACGAUGAGUGCUAAGUGUUAGGGGGUUUCCGCCCCUUAGUGCUGCAGCUAACGCAUUAAGCACUCCGCCUGGGGAGUACGACCGCAAGGUUGAAACUCAAAGGAAUUGACGGGGACCCGCACAAGCGGUGGAGCAUGUGGUUUAAUUCGAAGCAACGCGAAGAACCUUACCAAAUCUUGACAUCCUUUGACAACUCUAGAGAUAGAGCUUUCCCCUUCGGGGGACAAAGUGACAGGUGGUGCAUGGUUGUCGUCAGCUCGUGUCGUGAGAUGUUGGGUUAAGUCCCGCAACGAGCGCAACCCUUAAGCUUAGUUGCCAUCAUUAAGUUGGGCACUCUAAGUUGACUGCCGGUGACAAACCGGAGGAAGGUGGGGAUGACGUCAAAUCAUCAUGCCCCUUAUGAUUUGGGCUACACACGUGCUACAAUGGACAAUA
rnacentral:rRNA from 1 species